rnacentral:rRNA from 1 species
UGCCAGCCGCCGCGGUAAGACGGAGGGUGCAAACGUUGUUCGGAAUCACUGGGCAUAAAGAGCAUGUAGGCGGUUCGCUAAGUCAUGUGUGAAAGCCCCCGGCUCAACCGGGGAACUGCACGUGAUACUGGCGAGCUUGAGGAUGGUAGGGGUGAGUGGAACUCCAGGUGGAGCGGUGAAAUGCGUAGAUAUCUGGAGGAACACCUGUGGCGAAAGCGGCCCACUGGACCAUUCCUGACGCUGAGAUGCGAAAGCUAGGGUAGCGAACGGGAUUAGAUA